UACGGAGGGUGCAAGCGUUAUCCGGAUUCACUGGGUUUAAAGGGCGCGUAGGCGGCCUGAUAAGUAGGGGGUGAAAUCCUGCGGCUUAACCGCAGGGCUGCCUUCUAAACUGUCAGGCUAGAGCACGGUAGAGGCAGAUGGAAUUCCCGGUGUAGCGGUGGAUGACGUAGAGAUCGGGAAGAACAUCAGUGGCGAAGGCGGUCUGCUGGGCUGUUGCUGACGCUGAGGCGCGACAGCGUGGGGAGCAAACAGG
rnacentral:rRNA from 1 species